CGUGGGGAACGACCAGAGCAGGAAGAAAAAGGGUAAAACCCUAAACUCCACAAAAUCUUCUAAUUGAAGGUGCAAUUGAAGACCAAACUCGGAUUUGAAUACAUAUAAACGAUCACCGAGCUAAGGGGAUCGUAAGGUAUGUCGAAAUUUAUAUUGACUCUAAACAAGCUAGGUGGGAGCUUGGAAAGGAACGGGUCAAACGGAUCAUGGAUGCGAAGAAUGUUUGCGCGAACGCGAGGUAAGUAAAGCUUACACCCAUUUGUAGUAAACGUAUGUAUUUUAUAGAUGAUAAAUGUGACAACCGAUUACAUUCGAAAUUGAAGUUCCGACACUAAGCAAUAUGAGUCGGAACGAAUAAAAAUGAUCAAAACCAUGGUUAAUGGUAAAAUGGACAAAAGGGUAAUUUAGUCGUGGAUCGACUAAGAAUUUAUAAGAUUUCUUUAAGGUUACCUUAUAGCGAAACUAGUAAUGGGAAAAAGGGUAAAUUAGUCACAUGUUGACUAUAUGUAAGUUGGGAUUAAAAAGAAUACCCAUGGUGUAAGCCAUAACGAGUUAGAUACGUAAGAAGAAUGAUCUUGUAGUUAAAACUUGAAAUGGGUUGAAUGGGAUAUUAAAAGCCAUGAUUUGACAUAAGUAUAAAUGUUUGGUCAUAAAUACCAAAUGGGUCAAAUGGUGGUGAUGACACUAUUUGACAAUAUCGACUAAUGUUUGGUUGUUAAGUUAAAUGUUCGCAG
rnacentral:lncRNA from 1 species